UUGAGAUGUAAAACUUGAUUAUAAAUAAUUUACUUGAGUAUUACGAGUUGUAAAAUAUUGUUUUAUGCAGAAAUCUUAAAACUCAAAAGACUUGGCGGUAUCUUAGGUCCUUCUAGGGGAACCUGUCCUAUAAUCGAUAGUCCACGAUUUAUCUUUCCUUUCCUUGAAAAUAGUCAGCUUGUAUACCGUCGUCGUCAGAUUACCUUUAAGAGUGAAAUAAGUUAUCAGAAAGAAGGCUACUGUUUAGCGAUUGUCUUGACUUUGAUAAGUUAAGGUUAAUGUAAAAGUAAUUUUCUAGAUGUCAGAUCAAGGUGCAGCCCAUGGGAAGGUAGAGAUGGGUUACAAUAAUUAUUUAUUAUCUACGGAUUUCUUAUUGAAAUUAUAAGAACUAAAGGCGGACUUAGAAGUAAUUAACAAGAGAAAUAGAAAGUCUCGGUGAAAAUGGCACUAAGAUGUG
rnacentral:rRNA from 1 species